GAUGUGAAAUCCCCGGGCUCAACCUGGGAACUGCAUUUGUGACUGCAUAGCUAGAGUACGGUAGAGGGGGAUGGAAUUCCGCGUGUAGCAGUGAAAUGCGUAGAUAUGCGGAGGAACACCGAUGGCGAAGGCAGCCCCCUGGGUCAAGAUUGACGCUCAUGCACGAAAGCGUGGGGAGCAAACAGGAUUAGAUACCCUGGUAGUCCACGCCGUAAACGAUGUG
rnacentral:rRNA from 13 species